UGGGGAAUAUUGCGCAAUGGGGGAAACCCUGACGCAGCAACGCCGCGUGAAGGAUGAAGGCCUUCGGGUUGUAAACUUUUUUGAUCGGGGACGAAAGAAAUGACGGUACCCGAAAAACAAGUCACGGCUAACUACGUGCCAGCAGCCGCGGUAAUACGUAGGUGGCAAGCGUUGUCCGGAUUUACUGGGUGUAAAGGGCGUGUAGGCGGGUCAGCAAGUCAGAUGUGAAAUCCCGGGGCUUAACUCCGGAACUGCAACUGAAACUGUAGAUCUUGAGUACUGGAGAGGAAAGUGGAAUUCCUA
rnacentral:rRNA from 1 species